UACAGAGGGUGCAAGCGUUGUUCGGAAUUACUGGGCGUAAAGGGCGCGCAGGCGGCCGCUCAAGUCAGGCGUGAAAGCCCCGGGCUCAACCUGGGAAUUGCGUCUGGGACUGAGUGGUUAGAGAUCGGGAGAGGAGAGUGGAAUUCCCAGUGUAGAGGUGAAAUUCGUAGAUAUUGGGAAGAACACCGGUGGCGAAGGCGGCUCUCUGGACCGAUACUGACGCUGAGGCGCGAAAGCGUGGGGAGCAAACAGG
rnacentral:rRNA from 1 species